UACGGAGGGAGCUAGCGUUGUUCGGAAUUACUGGGCGUAAAGCGCGCGUAGGCGGCUUUGUAAGUUAGAGGUGAAAGCCCGGGGCUCAACCUCGGAACUGCCUUUAAGACUGCAUCGCUUGAAUCCGGGAGAGGUGAGUGGAAUUCCGAGUGUAGAGGUGAAAUUCGUAGAUAUUCGGAAGAACACCCGUGGCGAAGGCGGCUCGCUGGACCGUUACUGGCGCUGAGGAACGAAAGCUAGGGGAGCAAACAGG
rnacentral:rRNA from 1 species